rnacentral:lncRNA from 1 species
AAGAGUGAAUUACGCCAAUUAUAAUCUCUCUCUCUUCCUUCUCUCUCUAUCAACAAAAUUCUCAAUCAUCUCUCUUCUCCCUCAAGUCUCUCUCCCUCCAUUAAGGCAACCAUCGUAGCAGUCAUUAAGGUGGACUUUCUAAAGCGAAGAACAUAGAUCCGAACCGAAGAGGGAGUGUGCGAACAGUAGGCAUCAGAAUCAUCAUCGUUAGAAUCCUCGGCGUCAUCAUCAAUUAUUGGCUCAUCCAUAGGAGAACCGGAUUUUUGAGGGCUAGAUUUUUGUUCAUCUCCAUUUUUUGUUUUAAUAUAAUAUAUACAGUAUUUUACUUGGCCGAAAAACGUCAUCUAUGGUGAACAUUCUUCUUUUCCCUUCUAUUUUAGAUACAUACAAUGAUACAAAUACAUUGUAUUAUGUAUAAAUACACUCAAAUGUAUUGUAUUUUUAUAUGAAGACGUUAUUUCUUUUCUUGAAUUUAUGUAUUCCGAAGAUAUGUAUUUUUUGAAUACAGUCGAAUAACAUUGUGUUUUGUGAUUCGUUUGUUGUUUGA